UACGUAGGGGGCUAGCGUUGUCCGGAAUCAUUGGGCGUAAAGCGCGUGUAGGCGGCCCGGUAAGUCCGCUGUGAAAGUCGGGGGCUCAACCCUCGAAUGCCGGUGGAUACUGUCGGGCUAGAGUACGGAAGAGGCGAGUGGAAUUCCUGGUGUAGCGGUGAAAUGCGCAGAUAUCAGGAGGAGCACCGAUUGCGAAGGCAGCUCGCUGGGACGUAACUGACGCUGAGACGCGAAAGCGUGGGGAGCAAACAGG
rnacentral:rRNA from 1 species